rnacentral:rRNA from 1 species
AGUGAACGCUGGCGGUAGGCCUAACACAUGCAAGUCGAACGGCAGCACAGUAAGAGCUUGCUCUUACGGGUGGCGAGUGGCGGACGGGUGAGGAAUACAUCGGAAUCUACUUUUUCGUGGGGGAUAACGUAGGGAAACUUACGCUAAUACCGCAUACGACCUACGGGUGAAAGCAGGGGAUCUUCGGACCUUGCGCGAUUGAAUGAGCCGAUGUCGGAUUAGCUAGUUGGCGGGGUAAAGGCCCAACAAGGCGACGAUCCGUAGCUGGUCUGAGAGGAUGAUCAGCCAAACUGGAACUGAGACACGGGCCAGAAUCCUACGGGAGGCAGCAGUGGGGAAUAUUGGACAAUGGGCGCAAGCCUGAUCCAGCCAUACCGCGUGGGUGAAGAAGGCCUUCGGGUUGGAAAGCCCUUUUGUUGGGAAAGAAAAGCAGCAGGUUAAUACCCCGCUGUUCUGACGGUACCCAAAGAAUAAGCACCGGCUAACUUCGUGC